UACAGAGGGGUGCGAGCGUUAAUCGGAAUUACUGGGCGUAAAGCGUGCGUAGACGGCUAUCUAAGUCGGGUGUGAAAGCCCCGGGCUCAACCUGGGAAUUGCAUUCGAGACUGAAUAGCUAGGGUACGGUAGAGGGAAGUGGAAUUUCCGGUGUAGCGGUGAAAUGCGUAGAUAUCGGAAGGAACAUCAGUGGCGAAAGCGACUUCCUGGACCAAUCUGACGCCUGCUCGUGCGAAAGCGUGGGGAGCAAACAGG
rnacentral:rRNA from 1 species